rnacentral:rRNA from 1 species
GAUGAACGCUGGCGGCGUGCCUAAUACAUGCAAGUCGAGCGAACAGAUAAGGAGCUUGCUCCUUUGACGUUAGCGGCGGACGGGUGAGUAACACGUGGGUAACCUACCUAUAAGACGGGAAUAACUCCGGGAAACCGGAGCUAAUGCCGGAUAACAUGUUGAACCGCAUGGUUCUACAGUGAAAGGCGGCUUUGCUGUCACUUAUGAAUGGACCCGCGCCGUAUUAGUUAGUGGGUGAGGUACCGGCCCACCAAGGCAACGAUCCGUAGCCGACCGGAGAGGGGGAUCGGCAACACUGGAACUGAGCCACGGUCCAGACUCCUACGGGAGGCAGCAGAAGGGAAUCUUCGGAAAUGGGCGAAAGCCUGACGGAGCAACGCCGCGUGAGUGAUGAAGGUCUUCGGAUCGUAAAACUCUUUGAUUAGGGAAGAACAAAUGCGUAAGUAACUGUGCGCGUCUUGACGGUACCUAAUCAGAAAGCGACGGCUAACUACGUG